rnacentral:misc_RNA from 1 species
AACGCACCUUGCGCUCCUUGGUAUUCCGAGGAGCAUGCCUGUUUGAGUGUCAUUAAUAUAUCAACCUCUUCAGCUUUUUGCAAGUUGAGUGUUGGAUGUGGGGGUAUUUUUGCUGGACUCUAUACAAUCUGAGGUCAGCUCCCCUAAAAUGCAUUAGCGAAACUAUUUGUUUACUGCUCAUUGGUGUGAUAACUAUCUACGCUAUUGACGGUGAAGCAUGUUUAGCUUCUAACAGUCCAUUAACUUGGACAAUCUCUUAUUAAUGUGACCUCAAAUCAGGUAGGACUACCCGCUGAACUUAA